rnacentral:rRNA from 1 species
UACGUAGGUGACCAGCGUUGUCCGGAUUUACUGGGCGUAAAGAGCGCGCAGGCGGUCGAUCAAGUCGAGUGUGAAAGCCCCCGGCUCAACUGGGGAGGGUCAUUCGAUACUGAUCGACUCGAAGGCAGGAGAGGGUAGUGGAAUUCCCGGUGUAGUGGUGAAAUGCGUAGAUAUCGGGAGGAACACCAGUGGCGAAGGCGGUUGCCUGGAGCUUUGCUGACGCUGAUGCGCGAAAGCGUGGGGAUCAAACAGGG